rnacentral:rRNA from 1 species
UAAAGAUUCAUCGCUGAUAGAUAGGCAUGCGUUCCAUUAGGCAGUUGGCGGGGUAACGGCCCACCAAACCGACGAUGGAUAGGGGUUCUGAGAGGAAGGUCCCCCACAUUGGUACUGAGACACGGACCAAACUCCUACGGGAGGCAGCAGUGAGGAAUAUUGGUCAAUGGGCGUAAGCCUGAACCAGCCAAGUCGCGUGAGGGAUGAAGGUUCUAUGGAUCGUAAACCUCUUUUAUAAGGGAAUAAAGUGCGGGACGUGUCCCGUUUUGUAUGUACCUUAUGAAUAAGGAUCGGCUAACUCCGUGCCAGCAGCCGCGGUAAUACGGAGGAUCCGAGCGUUAUCCGGAUUUAUUGGGUUUAAAGGGUGCGUAGGCGGCCUUUUAAGUCAGCGGUGAAAGUCUGUGGCUCAACCAUAGAAUUGCCGUUGAAACUGGGAGGCUUGAGUAUGUUUGAGGCAGGCGGAAUGCGUGGUGUAGCGGUGGAAUGCUUAGAUAUCACGCAGAACCCCGAUUGCGAAGGCAGCCUGCCAAGCCAUGACUGACGCUGAUGCACGAAAGCGUGGGGAUCAAACAGGAUUAGAUACCCUGGUAGUCCACGCAGU